AAGUUAAUCUCAGCACAUGAUUUUUAUUCAGGGCGUUUCCUUUAACAAGAAUAAAUAAAUUCCUCCCAGCUUGUGUCCCAGUUAUGUUCCUCGGUCUGAUGCAGGAUUUAAGAUUAGAGAAGGUCUCCUCUCAUGGUGGAUAUCUGCUUUAUUUUACUGUCCUCCGUCUGGAGCUCCAGCUGAAGUUUGAUUUAAAGUCAGCUUCUUCAUCACUCUGAAGAGGAGAUCUCAACACUUCAGGAGGACCAGGAGACCUCAAGAUGGGGGGUUCAGAGUCAACACCAACACCAACACCACCACCAACACCACCACCACCAGGCACUCAGGAGAAGAAGAAACUCAAACAACUUGCAGCUUCAUUCAUCAGAGCGUAUGACAAUAAUAAACACAGGAUGAC